UACAGGGGGGGCAAGCGUUGUUCGGAAUUACUGGGCGUAAAGGGCUCGUAGGCGGCCAACUAAGUCCGACGUGAAAUCCCCAAGCUUAACUUGGGAACUGCGUCGGAUACUGGAUGGCUUGAAUUCGGGAGAGGGAUGCAGAAUUCCAGGUGUAGCGGUGAAAUGCGUAGAUAUCUGGAGGAAUACCGGUGGCGAAGGCGGCAUCCUGGACCGACAUUGACGCUGAUGAGCGAAAGCUAGGGGAGCAAACAGG
rnacentral:rRNA from 1 species